rnacentral:rRNA from 1 species
CGCGCAGGCGGUUCUUCAAGUCAGAGGUGAAAGCCCAGAGCUCAACUCUGGAAUGGCCUUUGAGACUAGAGAACUAGGGUACGGGAGAGGUGAGUGGAAUUCCGAGUGUAGAGGUGAAAUUCGUAGAUAUUCGGAAGAACACCAGUGGCGAAGGCGGCUCACUGGCCCGUUACCGACGCUCAGGCGCGACAGCGUGGGGAGCAAACA